GAGGGUACGGCUCAGUGGUAGAGUGUAUGUUUUGCAUGUAUGAGGUCCCAGGUUCAAUCCCCGGUACCUCCA
rnacentral:tRNA from 1 species